UGAUGUAACGUCAAACUGUACAGCUUGCUAAAAUCUGCUCUUUGAGUUAAUAUUUAGAUUUAGUCAGGUCAAGGUUUAUGCGUUCAAACCUCUGCCUGAUCAUUUACAACGGCACUUUCGCUUGGUCGUAUCCUCAAACUACCAACUACACAUAGUAACGCGAAUAAACUACAAACCACCCAAAGCACUUACUUAAUCAAUCAUCAAUAAAAAAUGAUUAAAACUAUCGCGGAUAAAUGUAUCGUUAUCGCGUCGCGCGAGUCGAAUCAGCGUUUGUGAACUCGCAGAUGAGUGACGCGGCAGCGCGAGCGGUGCUAACGCGAACCUGCCAGUGAAAUAACUCACGAAACUGCGGGAAAUCAGCGUCAAAUCACCGAUAAACGGCCCGGUCGCGACGAGAUCAUCAGCCAUGAAGGAAGACGCCUUCUCUCGGGAUUUAGGAUAGAAACACAGUAUCUCUCUCUCUCUCACACACACACACACACACACACACACA